GCCGACGUAGCUCAGUGGUAGAGCACUUCCAUGGUAAGGAAGGGGUCGCGAGUCCGAAUCUCGCCGUCGGCUCAA
rnacentral:tRNA from 1 species